GUUGGAUUAUAAAGACUUUACAAUAAAAAUCAUAGGAAUAAUAAGGAUAAUAGAAUUGACACAGUAGAAAAAACAAAACGAGGAACCAGAUAGUAAAGGAGGUGGCAGAAAAAUCUAUAUAUUGAACAACACAACUUUUGGCCGAGGAGGACUAUAAAACUGAGCCUAAUCUUUGGUCUUAGCAUCCCAUCAGCCUGGGAGGGAAAAUAAUGCCCUGAAUGAGCACCAGGCAUCCCAUUCAGGUCCCAUCAGUUUCAGCUUCUUCUAGUCACAUCAACAUGGUUCCAGCUUCCACUUGAUGACUUCAACCUUUCAACUGCAGUGAUAUCACCUCCUCCUUUUGUUCCCCGCUGGUUAGAAGUGGGAGGGCAUCUGCUAUUGCAAAUUCCAUUUGGUUGGCUUUUCAGCUCCUUCCAUCAUGUGUAUAAUUAAUUCCCUGCAUUAAAUUCCUUCUGUAUUCGUCCAUUUUCAUACUGCUAUAAAAAACUGUUCAAGACUGGGUAGUUUAUAAAAGAAAGAGGUUUAAUUGACUCACAGUUCUGCAUGGCUGGGAAGACCUCAGGAAACUUACAAACAUGGCAGAAGAUGAAGGGGAAGCAAGGCACCUUCUUCACAAGGCAGCAACAAGGAGAAGUAUCAAGCGAAGGGGGAAGAGCCCCUUAUUAAACCAUCAGAUCUCAUGAGAACUCACUCACUGUCAUGAGAACAGCAUGGGGGAACCGUCCCCAUGAUUCAAUUACCUCCACCUGGUCUCUCCCUUGACACAUGGGGAUUAUGGGGAUUACAAUUCAAGAUGAGAUUUGGGUGGGGACACAAAGCCUAACCAUAUCACCUUCUUAUUUAAAUACUCGAGUGGUUUCUGUUUCCUUGAUUGGACGCUGACUGGAUAAAAAUAGCUUUAAGGUUAAGUAUUUCAUUUGUUUUUUACCUUAUCCCCCAUGUAGAACUACGGGUUAAGUAUUUCAAAAUUGUCAAGAAUAUAUAAUUUCUAAAGUACAGAUGUUUCAGAGCAUAUAAAGGAGACCCUCUGGUCUCUACGUAUUUUACGAGAUCAGCACAUUCUUGAUAUAAAACCUAUAAACAUGGCAAAGAAAAAUUACAAAUGAAGCAUAAGAAAUGGUUUUCAUUUGGUCACUUGAUUUGUGACAAGGGUGCCAUUGCAAUUGAGUGCAAGAGGAGCCAGUCUUCUCAUUGAACAGUAUUGUGUCAAUUGGAAUCCAUUAAAAUAAAAAGAAGCAUUAAUCCUCUAC
rnacentral:lncRNA from 1 species